rnacentral:rRNA from 1 species
UACGGAGGGUGCAAGCGUUGUCCGGAAUUACUGGGCGUAAAGCGCGCGCAGGUGGUCUUUCAAGUCAGUGGUGAAAGCCCGGAGCUCAACUCCGGAAAUGCCAUUGAAACUGUAAGACUUGAGGAUGAGAGAGGUGAGUGGAAUUCCCAGUGUAGAGGUGAAAUUCGUAGAUAUUGGGAAGAACACCGGUGGCGAAGGCGGCUCACUGGGCCGUAACUGACGCUGAGGAGCGAAAGCAUGGGGAGCGAACAGG